AUACGGAUGGUGCGAGCGUUGUUCGGAAUUACUGGGCGUAAAGGGCGCGUAGGCGGCGAUGUAAGUCAAAUGUGAAAGUCCUCGGCUUAACCGGGGAAGUGCAUCUGAAACUGCAUUGCUUGAGUAUGUGAGAGGAAAGUGGAAUUCCCGGUGUAGAGGUGAAAUUCGUAGAGAUCGGGAGGAAUACCGGUGGCGAAGGCGACUUUCUGGACCAAUACUGACGCUGAGGCGCGAAAGCGUGGGGAGCAAACAGAAUUAGAAACCCUAGUAGUCC
rnacentral:rRNA from 1 species